UACGGGGGGGGGCAAGCGUUGUCCGGAUUUAUUGGGCGUAAAGAGCGUGUAGGCGGCCAGGUAGGUCUGCUGUGAAAACUCGAGGCUCAACCUCGAGCUGUCGGUGGAAACUGUCUGGCUAGAGUCCGGAAGAGGAGAAUGGAAUUCCUGGUGUAGCGGUGGAAUGCGCAGAUAUCAGGAGGAACACCGGUGGCGAAGGCGGUUCUCUGGGCAUUACCUGACGCUGAGGAGCGAAAGUGUGGGGAGCGAACAGG
rnacentral:rRNA from 1 species